CCUCAGAAUGGUUGGAAAUCAUUCAUAGAGUGUAAAGGCAUAAGGGAGCUUGACUGCGAGACCUACAAGUCGAGCAGGGUCGAAAGACGGACUUAGUGAUCCGGUGGUUCCGCAUGGAAGGGCCAUCGCUCAACGGAUAAAAGCUACCCCGGGGAUAACAGGCUUAUCUCCCCCAAGAGUUCACAUCGACGGGGAGGUUUGGCACCUCGAUGUCGGCUCAUCGCAUCCUGGGGCUGUAGUCGGUCCCAAGGGUUGGGCUGUUCGCCCAUUAAAGCGGUACGCGAGCUGGGUUCAGAACGUCGUGAGACAGUUCGGUCCCUAUCCGUCGUGGGCGUAGGAAAUUUGAGAGGAGCUGUCCUUAGUACGAGAGGACCGGGAUGGACAUACCUCUGGUGUACCAGUUGUCGUGCCAACGGCAUAGCUGGGUAGCUAUGUGUGGACGGGAUAAGUGCUGAAAGCAUCUAAGCAUGAAGCCCCCCUCAAGAUGAGAUUUCCCAACUUCGGUUAUAAGAUCCCUCAAAGAUGAUGAGGUUAAUAGGUUCGAGGUGGAAGCAUGGUGACAUGUGGAGCUGACGAAUACUAA
rnacentral:rRNA from 1 species